CUCCCAACUCUUUCCUCCACUCCCACACACUCUCCUCCUACCUCUCCCCACGAAAUUGCUGCUCCUCCUAGCUUCAUGGCCGGCUAUGGCCAUGAAAAGCUCUCCAAGAUGAAGCUCUCCCCCUCCCUCAAGCUCCCCUUCUCCAUGAGAGCAUCCCUCUCCUUCUUCUCUCCAACCCUAGAUGGUUUUCUCUCCUCUUCUUCUUUCUCCCUUGCUAAGUUUGGAUCUUGAUGCAGGUGCAUGUUGGUCCAAGCAUGGAGAAGUUUCACCUAUCCUCAGAUCUGAAGUCCUUGGCCAAAGGCCAAAUCGAGUGAUUCAAAGUUCCGCAGAUAGAUAUAGAAAAGAUCUACAACUUGGCGUUGGUCUCAUCCUCAAAUACGUUACCGAUUAUCCAUGGUAAAUAAAGUUCUGGAAACAUGUAGAUUCACUGUUUGUUAGAUUUGUUCCGUUUUACAAAACCUUUUUGAGCAAACUCAACUGUGGGUGAAAGCCCUCUUCAGUACCUUCAUUGUGGCGUUGGUUUCACAUCGAAUGACCCCCUAAAACUGAAAUGGUUCACAGAUCAAGAUCUGGACAGAUCUAGCUUUGUCGAAUUAAACCAGGAGCUUGGGAACGAAUUUUUGAAUGAAACAAAUUGGGGGAUGUUUGGUUCAUACCAUGGUGAUAACCGAGAGAGGCAAUUGCUAAGUGGUGAUACUCUCAUACCUUUACUAGAUGCGAACAAUUCCGGAGAAGAAGAAGAAGUGGUUCGGACAAGGAUUUUAUUUAUAUUGACGGGAUUCUUAUAUUGAUGAAGUUGAAGAAGUCCAGGGACAAAUAAGCCAA